GUCACUAACUGCGAGGAAACAGCAGCGGCGGCUAGCAGUGCUGUGUGUGUGUUUGCGUGUGUGCGCGACGAAAAAGUAUAAAUCGUAGCGAGCUGAAGAAAAAAACGUGUGAAAAUUUAUAGAAAGAACGACGCCUUAAAAUCCUUCGUCUAUUGUCGUCUAUUCGUGGUCGUCGUCGUCGUUUUUUGUCAACGUUCUCACGUCGUGGUUAACGCAACACUCUCUCUUCAGCUACAAUAACAAGAACCACAGGCAACAAUUAGUUGCAAAAAGAAAAUCGUAUACACAUUGCUUUAACGGGGAUCGCAUCGCCAGCAUCUACAAGAAGUCAAAUCAGAGAGGAGGAAGCAUAAAGAAGAAGAGCAAGCAGUAGCAUAAAAAAAAGUCAAGCAAAGGUACAGCAGACUAGAAGAAAUUCCAAUAAGAGGCUUACAAAAUGCAACAACAGACGACGGCUAAAAUGUAAAUGGGAGGGAAAGCAAAGUAAAACAAAAAAAAAAA